GACGAACGCUGGCGGCGUGCUUAACACAUGCAAGUCGAACGGAAAGGCCCUGCUUUUGUGGGGUGCUCGAGUGGCGAACGGGUGAGUAACACGUGAGUAACCUGCCCUUGACUUUGGGAUAACUUCAGGAAACUGGGGCUAAUACCGGAUAGGAGCUCCUGCUGCAUGGUGGGGGUUGGAAAGUUUCGGCGGUUGGGGAUGGACUCGCGGCUUAUCAGCUUGUUGGUGGGGUAGUGGCUUACCAAGGCUUUGACGGGUAGCCGGCCUGGGAGGGUGACCGGCCACAUUGGGACUGGGAUACGGCCCAGACUCCUACGGGAGGCAGCAGUGGGGAAUAUUGCACAAUGGGCGGAAGCCUGAUGCAGCAACGCCGCGUGCGGGAUGACGGCCUUCGGGUUUUAAACCGCUUUCGCCUGUGACGAAGCGUGAGUGACGGUAAUGAGUAAAGAAGCACCGGCUAACUACGUG
rnacentral:rRNA from 1 species